UAUGAUAAAAAUAGCCGAUCUAGUCCCUUAACCAGUGUCAAGAAGAAUAUCUGAUUUCACUGGGUAAUUUUUUUAACUAAUGUUUAUGAAAUAUUUAUUUUUCUGGUGGUUAGAUUCAAGUCCAACAAAAUUACAUAUCUUGUUUGCUUAAUUCUAUUCCGUAAGCCACUGUCUGACCUAUCGAACUUGUUGGUGAAGCCCUAAGAGAGAGAAUAUGCAGAGGAAAAACUCACAUCAUAUUUACAUCAUAGAUGACUGUUGUAUGCAAAUACCAAGACCAUGAACCAAGAAAACUACCUAACAACUCGGAACCAAAAAAAUUAAGUAGCGGGCAGGCAAUACUAGGAAAAGGUUCAACUAAGAAUUGAACUCCCAAAUAUAUUUUCUUUCUCACAGUCCUCUUCAGGCUGGUGAACAGAUAUUCUACAUUGCAAGCUUGGAAAUUAUACUUUGAAAUAGUGUACUUAAUCUCUUAAUAAGUACAUCCGAAAGUAGGUCAUGUAUAAUCACAUAAAGCAUC
rnacentral:lncRNA from 1 species